UGUGAGGGCGAUCUGGCUGCAACAUCUAUCACCUCAUUGAUCACCAGGGUUGAUUCGGCUGAUCUGGCUGGGUAGGCAGGUUGUCCCCUUCCUCUCUUGGUUGAAGAGGAUGACCUUCCCCGAUUGAGGAAAGGACCAUUCUCUAGUCAAGGGUAUACGAGUAGCUGUGCUCCCCCGCUAGAAACUCCCAACAAACUCUCAAGGUCCAUUUGUAGGAGAACUUAGGGUAGUCAAGCUUCCAGGACUCCAAACACAUCCAAAUGAAGUGCUGCACAUGAAAGUCUGCCUUCAAAA
rfam:Mustela putorius furo unplaced genomic scaffold scaffold00054, whole genome shotgun sequence.